rnacentral:rRNA from 1 species
UACGGGGGGGGCAAGCGUUGUUCGGAAUUACUGGGCGUAAAGGGCUCGUAGGCGGCCGACUAAGUCGGAUGUGAAAUCCCCAGGCUCAACUUGGGAACUGCAUCCGAUACUGGAUGGCUUGAAUUCGGGAGAGGGAUGCAGAAUUCCAGGUGUAGCGGUGAAAUGCGUAGAUAUCUGGAGGAAUACCGGUGGCGAAGGCGGCAUCCUGGACCGACAUUGACGCUGAGGAGCGAAAGCUAGGGGAGCAAACGGG